GAUGAACGCUGGCGGCGUGCCUAAUACAUGCAAGUCGAGCGAACGGACGAGAAGCUUGCUUCUCUGAUGUUAGCGGCGGACGGGUGAGUAACACGUGGAUAACCUACCUAUAAGACUGGGAUAACUUCGGGAAACCGGAGCUAAUACCGGAUAAUAUUUUGAACCGCAUGGUUCAAAAGUGAAAGACGGUCUUGCUGUCACUUAUAGAUGGAUCCGCGCUGCAUUAGCUAGUUGGUAAGGUAACGGCUUACCAAGGCAACGAUGCAUAGCCGACCUGAGAGGGUGAUCGGCCACACUGGAACUGAGACACGGUCCAGACUCCUGAGGGAGGCAGCAGUAGGGAAUCUUCCGCAAUGGGCGAAAGCCUGACGGAGCAACGCCGCGUGAGUGAUGAAGGUCUUCGGAUCGUAAAACUCUGUUAUUAGGGAAGAACAUAUGUGUAAGUAACUGUGCACAUCUUGACGGUACCUAAUCAGAAAGCCACGGCUAACUACGUG
rnacentral:rRNA from 1 species